UCGAACGGACCGUAUACGCAGCUUGCUGCGUGUAUGGUUAGUGGCAGACGGGUGAGUAAUGCAUAGGAAUCUACCUAGUAGUAUGGGAUAGCCACUAGAAAUGGUGGGUAAUACUGUAUAAUCCCUGCGGGGGAAAGAUUUAUCGCUAUUAGAUGAGCCUAUGUCAGAUUAGCUAGUUGGUGGGGUAAUGGCCUACCAAGGCGGUGAUCUGUAGCUGGUCUGAGAGGAUGAUCAGCCACACUGGAACUGAGACACGGUCCAGACUCCUACGGGAGGCAGCAGUGGGGAAUAUUGGACAAUGGGCGCAAGCCUGAUCCAGCUAUGCCGCGUGAGUGAGGAAGGCCUUAGGGUUGUAAAACUCUUUCAGUAGGGAAGAUAAUGACGGUAC
rnacentral:rRNA from 1 species